AGCAAAACUAACUUUUACCGGUCUUGUAUCGAGGAGUGUUUCCCCGUCAGGAUCUGUUACCUCUACCCCGCCCGCAGGAAAAAAGGCGGAGUCAGUCGCGCAUUCAGGGAAAGGCACGUCCCAUGGCACGUCCCCGCAACAUUGCUUCUCUGUUUGCUCCAUUUCUAGAUCCGUGCCUCUGCCACUCUCACGGCACCAAGGUUUUACGGAUAGCAGCAGAGGGCAAAAUUGACUGUGUUAUCGUCUUUUUAAUCUACUGCGUCAGUUGGGGGCUGGAGAAAGUUAAAGUCAUUGUAAAGUGUUUGCUGUGUUUUAUCAUUGUUGACACAACUAAAGACUUAUGUCCAUAAU